rnacentral:rRNA from 1 species
AGGCAGCAGUGAGGAAUAUUGGACAAUGGAGGCAACUCUGAUCCAGCCAUGCCGCGUGCAGGAAGAAUGCCCUAUGGGUUGUAAACUGCUUUUAUUUAGGAAGAAACCCCCCAACGUGUUGGGGGCUGACGGUACUAAACGAAUAAGGACCGGCUAACUCCGUGCCAGCAGCCGCGGUAAUACGGAGGGUCCAAGCGUUAUCCGGAAUCAUUGGGUUUAAAGGGUCCGCAGGCGGGCUAUUAAGUCAGUGGUGAAAUCUCUUGGCUUAACCAAGAAAUUGCCAUUGAAACUACUAGUCUUGAAUUCGGUCGAAGUGGGCGGAAUGUGUCAUGUAGCGGUGAAAUGCAUAGAUAUGACACAGAACACCGAUAGCGAAGGCAGCUCACUAGGCCUGAAUUGACGCUCAGGGACGAAAGCGUGGGGAGCGAACAGGAUUAGAUACCCUGGUAGUCCACGCCGUAAACGAUCAUUACUCGAUAUCAGCGAUAUACAGUUGGUGUCUAAGCGAAAGUGAUAAGUAAU